CUUGGUCAUUUAGAGGAAGUAAAAGUCGUAACAAGGUUUCCGUAGGUGAACCUGCGGAAGGAUCAUUAGUGAUUGCCUUUAUAGGCUUAUAACUAUAUCCACUUACACCUGUGAACUGUUCUACUACUUGACGCAAGUCGAGUAUUUUUACAAACAAUGUGUAAUGAACGUCGUUUUAUUAUAACAAAAUAAAACUUUCAACAACGGAUCUCUUGGCUCUCGCAUCGAUGAAGAACGCAGCGAAUUGCGAUAAGUAAUGUGAAUUGCAGAAUUCAGUGAAUCAUCGAAUCUUUGAACGCAGCUUGCGCUCUCUGGUAUUCCGGAGAGCAUGCCUGUUUCAGUGUCAUGAAAUCUCAACCACUAGGGUUUCCUAAUGGAUUGGAUUUGGGCGUCUGCGAUUUCUGAUCGCUCGCCUUAAAAGAGUUAGCAAGUUUGACAUUAAUGUCUGGUGUAAUAAGUUUCACUGGGUCCAUUGUGUUGAAGCGUGCUUCUAAUCGUCCGCAAGGACAAUUACUUUGACUCUGGCCUGAAAUCAGGUAGGACUACCCGCUGAACUUAAGCAUAUCAAUAAGCGGAGGAAAUCAC
rnacentral:rRNA from 1 species